GGACCAGGGGAAUCUGACUAUUUAAAACAAAGCAUCGUGAAGGCCCGAGGCGUGUGUUGACGCGAUGUGAUUUCUGCCCAGUGCUCUGAA
rnacentral:ncRNA from 1 species